rnacentral:tRNA from 13 species
CGCGGGGUGGAGCAGCUCGGUAGCUCGUCGGGCUCAUAACCCGAAGGUCGCAGGUUCAAAUCCUGUCCCCGCAACCA